rnacentral:rRNA from 1 species
GACGAACGCUGGCGGCGUGCCUAACACAUGCAAGUCGAACGGGGUAAGAAGCUUCGGUUUCUUACUUAGUGGCGAACGGGUGAGUAACGCGUGAGAAACCUGCCUUUCAGUGGGGGACAACAGUUGGAAACGACUGCUAAUACCGCAUAAUGUUAUUUGAGGGCAUCCUCGAAUAACCAAAGAUUUAUUGCUGAAAGAUGGUCUCGCGUCUGAUUAGCUAGAUGGCGGGGUAACGGCCCACCAUGGCGACGAUCAGUAGCCGGUCUGAGAGGAUGAACGGCCACAUUGGGACUGAGAUACGGCCCAGACUCCUACGGGAGGCAGCAGUGGGGAAUAUUGGGCAAUGGGGGAAACCCUGACCCAGCAACGCCGCGUGAAGGAAGAAGGCCUUCGGGUUGUAAACUUCUUUUAGCAGGGACGAAUUCUGACGGUACCUGCAGAAAAAGCAACGGCUAACUACGUGCCAGCCGCCGCCGUAACAC